rnacentral:tRNA from 1 species
AGUAAUUCUUUAGUUAUUGAUAAUUAACUUAAUUAAAUUUACUA